CUGUCCUUGCUCCUCAUCCCUCUCAUCUCCUCCCUUCUCUCGUCCAAGCUGGGUGCCGCCGCCGCCUGUGGUGGCUGCAAAACCACCCUCAUCUUGGUUCUCUUCUCAAUUGGUAAAUUUACUUGAACUCUUUUGUCAAUUGUAUUUAAUUAAAAACCCACAAAUUGAAGAAACCCUAACUUUCUUCUUUAAUUUUCUCUCUCCUCUUGUCCGGUGCACCACCUUCUCCGUCGGAGUCAGGGGCUGCCGGAGCAGCUACCGCUGCUGCUACUGUUGUCAUUGCCGCUGCUGUUGUUCGAGUUGCUGCUGCUGCUAUUGUUGUUUUCGUUGUUGAUUAUUGAUUUGAUUUCCCUAUAUCUGAUCUCUAUUUUCCUUAAGGGGAUUGAUGGAGGAUGGUUUAAGAAGAUUUGAGUCAUGAAGUUAAGCGAACGAUGAUGAUCAAAUAUGUAGCUUUGGGAUUUAUGAAUGGUUAUUGAAGAGUUAAAGUGUUUUGCAGGUAGCAAGAGUUAGGUCUCAGUUCAGGUUCAAGGUUCGUAGAGUUCUCCGAUGGCCUUAUGUGUCCAAGGUUGGAGUAUGGAUUCGCCAAAUGUAAUUUAGUUCCUAGAGUUUGUUAAUGCGCUGUAUAAUUUCUUCUUAAAGAUUUUGGUUUAUAAUUUAUGGAUUACAUAUCUGUAUUGGAGUCUUAGCUAAGUUAAGUUUCUUUGGUUUAAAGUUAAGUGUGCUGAGAAGUAGCUUAUUAAGUGUGGGUUGUUGCAGUGACGCCUUGGUAAUGUUUUGGAAUAUGUUAUAUGUUGGAAUGAUGUAAUUGAAGCAGGUGAAAAAGGUUAUGACGUAUUAUCCUAA